rnacentral:lncRNA from 10 species
AGAAAUUUAUUCUGUUUAAUCCACAAGCUUUAUAUAGCUUUAGUUUAAAAAAAAAAAACGAAAAAACAUCAAAACAAAAACAGUGAAACCAAGACACUAUUCCAAAGUCUGGACCCUUCCAGCCUUCCAAAUACAAGAGCUCUGAAAGUUGUAUAUACCGAUUGGAAGAACAAGAGAAAAAUAUGAACAGAGCCAUGACAUUUCAUUAAACAAAAUUGUAUGUAACUGAAGGAUCCUUCCUGGGACUAGCUCAUUGCCUUUACAAAAGAUAAAACAAAAACAGAAAACCAGAAGAAUAAAAUGAGAGUCCAGUGUUCCAAAUCAACUAGAUACACAUCAAUAUAAAUCCACAGUGUCCUGGCAAACAGCAUGCUUUCAUUUUCUGUCUCAUCCUAGAGCUCGAAUCCUGAUUCAUCUCAGCAGAGACUCCACAGGCAACAGGAAAGAUUAUGGCAUUGAAAUACUCAUUUAUACUUUUAUGGUAGUUCAAAAUGGUGGUCUUAUUUCUGGGCAAGCUUACAGACCAUACAAGGUCAGAAGCAUAACUUAAACGGGUGCUAAGACUCAAAUGAAAAAAAUGUAAAGAAAAAGAAAAACAGAAAACCAAAACCAAACCAAACAAAAAAAAAACCCUCUGGGAAUAGCCAGGGCAUUUAAAGGAACCAUAAAAAUGCUAAUAGUAUUUAAACCUCCCUUUUUAAAAAGGGGAUUUUUUUUGGCUUAAAAUAUUUCACUCUGAAUGAAUUAUGUCAACUGUCAAUGAAAGAAUGUUGCUAAUACAGUGUGGACAACUUUUGCAAUGUAAAUCCAUGCCCCUUGUUUUUACAUGGUGAACUUCAACCUAGCAAUUAUUACAACAAAUGUUAGAGUCUAAAGCUCAAACACAUUUUAGCAAUUUUGAAAUUGAACUGCCUACAAACCAAAUAAAAUUUACAUCACAACAAACAUUUCCGCCUGACUGUGGGGACACUUGGGCCUUCCUCAUUGAUCUCAGGACCUUUUCACACAGGUGCUUUUCUAAGUCAUGAAGGUUAUCUUCAGCUUCACUUUCAGUAUCCUCCUUCGGCUCUGGCGCUGCCACUGGUUCUUCCUGUGAUAAUGUG